CGGGAAUUGAAUCGUUACCGGAAAGACUUUGGAACAGUCUGCUAUAGAGGGUGAAAGCCCCGUACGGGAAAACGAGUCAAGACUCAGCAGGAUCCAGAGUACCACGAGACACGUGAAACCUUGUGGGAAUGCGGGGGGACCACCCCCUAAGGCUAAAUACUACUUAGUGACCGAUAGUGCAUAGUACUGUGAAGGAAAGGUGAAAAGGACCCCGGGAGGGGAGUGAAAAAGAACCUGAAACCCUAUGUUUACAUGCAGUGGAAGUGCGAUACAUGAACGCACAACCGCGUACUUUUUGUAGAACGGUCCGGCGAGUUGCCGGUGCUGGCAAGGUUAAGGACUACAGGUCCGGAGCCGAAGGGAAACCGAGUCUUAAUAGGGCUUACAGUCAGCAUCGGCAGACCCGAAACCGGGUGAUCUAUCCAUGUCCAGGUUGAAGUCCCCGUAAAAGGGGAUGGAGGACCGAACACACAUCCGUUGAAAAGGGUGGUGAUGAGGUGUGGAUAGGGGAGAAAUUCCAAUCGAACCCGGAGAUAGCUGGUUCUCCUCGAAAUAGCUUUAGGGCUAGCCUCGCAAUUAAGUCUUUCGCAGGUAGAGCACUGAAUUCUUGAGGGGGCGUCAAAGUCUACCAAGAGAUAUCAAACUCCGAAUGGCGGUAAGAUAUAAGCGGGAGUCAGACUGCGGGAUAUAAAUUCCGUAGUCAAAAGGGAAACAGCCCAGAUCUACAGCUAAGGUCCCAAAGUACAUGUUAAGUGGUAAAGGAUGUGGGAUUUCAUAGACAACUAGGAUGUUGGCUUAGAAGCAGCCACACAUUCAAAGAGUGCGUAAUAGCUCACUAGUCGAGAGGUCCUGCGCCGAAAAUUAACGGGGCUAAAACAUGACACCGAAGCUUAGGGAUGGUGUAAACCAUCGGUAGAGGAGCAUUGAAAACACGUAGAAGCGGUACCGAAAGGAUCCGUGGAGAGUUUUGAAGAGAGAAUGCCGGAAUGAGUAGCGAGAUGGAGGUGAGAAUCCUCCAGGCCGAAUAUCUAAGGUUUCCAGGGUAAAGCUGAUCUGCCCUGGGUAAGUCGGGGCCUAAGGCGAGGCGGAGACGCGUAGUCGAUGGACAACUGGUGUAGAUUCCAGUACCUUACUAAAUCAGAAAUGUGGGGACACAUGGAGAAAGAGAGAGCCGGGAAUGAGAAGACCGGUGCAAGGGAGGUAGGAGAUAAGUAGGAAAAACCGCUUAUCAAUCUGAAGACCUGAUGCGGAUCGAAAAGAAGUAGAGAAGCUCUUGGACUCUGUGGCGAGAAAAGCCGCUAUAGUGUUUAGUAAGCCCGUACCGCAAACCGACACAGGUAGAUGAGGAGAGAAUCCUAAGGCCGGCGGGAGAAGCAUUGUUAAGGAACUCGGCAAAAUGACCCCGUAACUUCGGGAGAAGGGGUGCCCAGGCAACUGGGCCGCAGAGAAAAGGCUCAAGCAACUGUUUAGCAAAAACACAGGUCUAUGCGAAACCGUAAGGUGAGGUAUAUGGGCUGACGCCUGCCCGGUGCUGGAAGGUUAAGAGGAGAGGUUAGCGCAAGCGAAGCUUUGAAUUUAAGCCCCAGUAAACGGCGGCCGUAACUAUAACGGUCCUAAGGUAGCGAAAUUCCUUGUCGGGUAAGUUCCGACCCGCACGAAAGGCGUAAUGAUUUGAGCGCUGUCUCAACAAUGCACCCGGUGAAAUUGAAGUACCAGUGAAGAUGCUGGUUACCUGCGCCAAGACGGAAAGACCCCAUGGAGCUUUACUCCAUCUUGGUACUGGGAUUAGAUAUAUGAUGUACAGGAUAGGUGGGAGACUAAGAAGCAGGGACGCCAGUUUCUGCUGAGUCAAUGUUGGGAUACCACCCUUCGUGUAUCUGGUUUCUAACCUUUGCCCGUUAUCCGGGCAGGGGACAAUGCCAGGAGGGGAGUUUGACUGGGGCGGUCGCCUCCGAAAGUGUAUCGGAGGCGCUCAAAGGUUCCCUCAG
rnacentral:rRNA from 1 species